AUCACUUCCUCCAUACCCUGGAGGUUGUAUCUAGGGAAGUGAGCAGUCACCAUGGUGGUACACUGGGGUACUGUACAACUAGCCCAGCAUCAUAUCACACACUAUUUGCUAUCUCACAGCAACUGAGCUAGAUCUAUUAGUAGGUUUCUAUGGAGCAAACUUAAUAAGCAAGUACAUGUAGUUGUGUAGUUAUAAUUAUAAGCUCUCCAAUCAGCUAUUUUAUUGUGAGGCAUGUUUGCCAAUAGAGAGGUGGCCUCCUAACACAGUCAGGUCCAAACACAUAAUUAUAUGCUAUGGAGAUGUUGAGUGGCUGUAUUAUAGAGGGUGACUACAAUAGACAGGUUUGACUAUAACUACAAUCAUUCUGCCCCCCUCCACUUCCACACAGGCUGAGUGGACUGAUGAUGUGGCCCAGUUCAGAGGACCCAAGAAGCCUGUCACUAAAGAGUGUGUGCUCAUCAUAGACACUGUGUCUGGGGAGGCAGUACUGGAGAGGAUCAGUAACAACAUCCAACUCAAGGCCAUCAGCAUGUGAUUGUGGAGAGGGUACUACGUGGAGUUGUGUACUCCUCCUAAUGAACUCUUGGUACAAUGUACAUGAGACUUGGAGACUAGGAACAAUUGGACGGACGCAAGUGAUGAUGAAUGCGUACGCUGACCUUGUGUUCCAGUUUGGAAUGGCUGACGAGAACCAAGCCGCUUACAUUUAUUCAAGGACCAACACGGCUGUGCAGUACAUCAAAGCUGAACGGUUUUACGAUGGCUUCAAGAUUUUUGAUGCUCUGCUCAACGGAGAUCUGAUACCGUAUCCUACGUACUUGUACAACAUCACUGGAUCCACCAACUACUACAACAUUCUCAGGACCUCGCUAGGUACACGUAUGUUGAUAGAGUAUGUCAGAAAGUGUUGGAUAGAAGUAUACAGUCCUGUUUGGAGUGGUAUAUACUCUUUUUACCUAUACGUAGUGUACUGAACAUUCUACUGUAUUAUUUAUCUUAUGUUGGUACAUACUUAACCAGUGUUUGGUUAAAGGGCUCUUGUUUGAGUAGCUGAUUGAAUUAGGGAAUCUGUACAAGUUAAGUUGUGUGUAUGGAUUGAAUUUGGGGAAGUCCUGGACUAUACAAUUAUCUCUAGCGCUUUAGUGCAAGGCUAACUCAUAUGUUGAAUAGAAAGUUUGUGUGAACAGAUGAUGCUAUGAAAGAUUCUGAAGAGACUGCAACAGCCUUCAAUGUGAAGAAGCUUUAGUUUGCUAAUCCACGAACCAAAAUCCAACAGAUCGUGGCUAGAAGCCUAUAGAAGCUGUCAGUUUUUGUUGCAUUGCAACCGUUGAGCAGUUACAGCUGGAACAGACACACAGACAGACACACACACACACACACACACACACAGUCAGCUUUACCGUAUCCCUCGUGCAGCUACGCCUCGAGGCAUAAUAAGGGGAGGGUAAGCGUCAGUCGUCUGGCUGUUCAAAGUGUGGUUGUAGAUCAGACCAUUCCACACCAUAGUACGUACCUUCCUCUCUGUGUGCAGCAUAUGCCUCAGUACAUUGCUAUUUCUGGCUACCACAUCAUGGAGGCUGGUGCUGACCCUGUGCUGCAGUUGGCCUUCACUGUGGCCGAUGGGUUAGAGUAUUGCAGGACAGGGACGGACGCAAGUGAUGAUGAAUGCGUACGCUGACCUUGUGUUCCAGUUUGGAAUGGCUGACGGGAACCAAGCCGCUUACAUUUAUUCCAGGACCAACACGGCUGUGCAGUACAUCAAAGCUGAAUGGUUUUACGAUGGCUUCAAGGUACACACACUAUACACAGCAUCAGAACUCUAGUCACAGAGGCAACUCUAGUACUCAGUACCUGUACAGGAACCAACUACUGAAGCCACUGACUAACUACAAUGUAUGUGCAUCACGUACCCCCUCUCGUCCACCAGGGUUCAGUACCUAGCAGUUAGUGAACAUUGUAGCCAGCUCUGUGCUUGUCUAAGCUAUUACUCAACGCAGCUGUUACGGUUUAUUCGGUGGCCAAUUCACAGAAGCUCAGCAUCCAAAAUCCAUUUCACAUUCUCAAAGUAGGUAUAACAUGUUUGUGCCGACUGUUGCAGAUUUUUGAUGCUCUGCUCAACGGAGAUCUGAUACCGUAUCCUACGUACUUGUACAACAUCACUGGAUCCACCAACUACUACAACAUUCUCAGGACCUCGCUAGCCUCCCCUGAUUUUAACUACUACGUUCCCUUCAUCAACACCACUGACAUCAGACGAGCCAUUCACGUCGGCAGUCUCAGCUAUGGCUAUCACGCUGAGGUGGACAGAUUAAAGAUAGGAGAUGAUGUUGCCGGGUAUGUGAGGACAGUGAACAAGUUUAUGUAGGUGGUCGUGAGAGGGGGUGGGCACAUUCUCCCGUUUGACCAGCCGGAGAGAGCACUCAACCUCAUCCAGAACUUUGUGAACAUGCAAUAGCCUAUUAUAAUUAUGUUGUCUGGAAAUGAUCAUGCUUCAAGUAUAAGGAUAAUAAUGAAAUCUAUAAUUAUAGUCGUGUCAUUUAAUAUGUUGUUUGAAGAGAA